rnacentral:rRNA from 1 species
ACUCAAAGGAAUUGACGGGGGCUCACACAAGCGGUGGAGCAUGUGGCUUAAUUCGAGGCUACGCGAAGAACCUUAUCCUAGGCUUGACAUGUUCGAAAGAGGCAGCAAGUACCCUGCGGAAACGUUAGGGGAACGGUAUCCAGUCCGGAAGCUGCUACAGGUGCUGCAUGGCUGUCGUCAGCUCGUGUCGUGAGAUGUCGGGUUAAGUCCCAUAACGAGCGAAACCCUUGCCCUUAGUUGCCAGCGAGUAAUGUCGGGGACUCUAGGGGGACUGCCGGUGUUAAACCGGAGGAAGGUGGGGAUGACGUCAAGUCCUCAUGGCCUUUAUGCCUAGGGCUGCACACGUGCUACAAUGGUGCAUACAAAGGGACGCAAACCCGCGAGGGGGAGCAAAUCCCAAAAAAUGCACCUCAGUUCAGAUCGAAGGCUGCAACUCGCCUUCGUGAAGUUGGAAUCGCUAGUAAUCGCAGGUCAGCAACACUGCGGUGAAUGUGUUCCUGAGCCUUGCACACACCGCCCGU